AAUUGUAUUGGAUGUUGCAGAGUCGAAUCUGCAGACAUUUCCACCUUUAGGUCCUCAAGGAAAGAUCUCUGGUGCGGCCAGACCCCCUCGUGAUGCUGAUGUUGAUUGUGAACAUGGUGUUUGUAUGACCAGAGAUCACUUUCAUUAAGAAAACCACAAGUGCAAAUGACGAUUUAAUUGGACUAGAAGUGCCUAUACUAUAAAUAAUGGACAAUGGGUCAAUGCUGAGAAUUAGGGAGCCCUAUACUUCUAGUUAUCUAAAGAUAUGGAUCUAUUCUACAUCUAAAGCUGCUACAGUAGCAAACUGGAGUGAGGUAAUUCUGUUAUUAGGGAGAUUGGGAUUUUCUCUUGAUAAAUUUGUACGUGGUAAGAUAGUCAUUAGUAGCACCAUUCGAUACAAAAUUCAAAAGCUGUGAAGUUUAGUUCUAGGGAUACUGAUGAGGACAUCGGACGUGACAUUGGACGUUUACUUAUUUUAUUUAAGCUUUAUUUAUCUUUUGGACUAUUAUUUAAAAUUUGGACUUGUAUGAGCUCGGCUCAAUCUCGUUAGGGUUGCUUUACUAUUUAGACCUAUUUUGCAUUGUAAUUUUCAGUUGAUGAUGAAUGAAUAAUAUUUUGAUGACU